CUGUUGCGCUGUGCUCUCUUCCCCAAGCGAGAGGCCUGGGGAUGGAGGAACUCAGAGAUCACUCGCUUGUGAAUACAGGGAAAAGAACUCUUUUUUACCGCAAGGAUUUAAUGUGAUGUUGAUGGACACUUUUCCUCAAUGUGUAAUACAGAGAGAACAGCUUCGCUCUUCUCUCCCACACUGCUAGUUGCCGGGAGAGUAAAUGAAGUCAUGUCUGGAAAGUGCCCCGAGCUCUUCAGAGAAGAACCUAGAAGUGGGGGCACGUGCCAUUGCCCUGAAUCUGGAGCAAUCGUUAAGUUUUUAGAAUGAACCGAAAAGCUCGGUUUUCGGAAACCGAAAUGUUUCAAGUAUUGUGUUUGAUUUGCACAUCUUCAGUUUGAUCCUUAACAACAUGUUUGCUGUGAUUCCAGGAAUUUUGUGAUCUUACUUCAGUGUUGACAUUUUACAUCCUUCCCAGGACUGUAAGUACUCUUUAAGGAAUGUGUGGUUAAUGUAGUAGAGAGAAAAACCCCAAAUCACACUGCAUCCGAGAGCCAAGAAGUCCAGCCUUUUUAUUGGCUUCCAGUACUGGCAUUAAAUAAACAUGAGUCGUUUUUCUGGAAACACCUGUCAACCUUAAACAUGCAAGGACAAAGCCAGAAUCUUUGAGGCUCACUGAAUAGCUAACUCAGACAUCGUUUCUCUUCUCCAAAGAUUGUGAUUGUUUGCUUAUUUUUUUCAUACAAUUUCUUAGACUAGGCUUUCACCAAAAAUAAAAGCUAAAUAUGAUGCAUCAUGGGCAGAGAAUUCUUAAUCCAAAUCCCCAGAGAUUACCUGACUUGAUUAUUCCACAUACUCUGUAUUCUCAACCAAAAUAGACUUCUUUUUAAAGAGAAUCCAAUUUCCAAUGGAUUUAACCUAGAAAAACAGCAAAAAGCUAAUAAAAGCUCGGAGGCUCGUCCAAGGAAAGCAUUGUGGCUGCUACACGUUGGGAGUCUUGAUCUAGUGGAGAGGUUUGGAAAAGCUGCCAAUUCCUCUAGUGAAUUUGCUGUUCUCUGGGAUGUGGGAUGGGGCACCUGGUAGACUCCUAGUAAAUUCUUGACCAGGAAUAAAUUAUGCGGACUGCAUUCCUGUAUUGCCAAAACUUGGCCUAAUUGAGAUAGUGGAGUUGCUAACAGACUUAAUCUUUGGAAAGAAAGAGUGUGAGUGUGGAGACAACUUCUUCAGCUUCUUCCUACUCACUCUUCGCCACCUUUUGUGUUCCUAUUUUGUGGCACAACUGAGAACCGACUUUCUUCAAAGAAACAUAGCUUAAAUGCCUGGAGUAGUGCCUGCAAUUUCCUGUUCAUUCUCUACCAUAGUAUCCUACUCCAGGGGUGUUUUACCAAGAGGUACUUUACCCUGCAAUCACUCUUCAGACCUGAGUUGAUUCUUCAGGCAUCAGUAGCUGGAUAACCUGAGUGGAUUGACUGAAGACAAGGAGCUCAAAGCAAUUAAAAUGAGAGGGUUUAUGGGCUAGAUUUAUAGGACCUACCAUGUCGUAAUGCUUCCCUGAGACCCAAGUUUCACUGGCUGCUUCUCCACAUCUUACAAAAGUUGAUGACACACCCUGUAGGGACAUGGAUGAAUCUGAAGAACAUCAUCCUCAGCAAACUGACACAAGAACAGAAAAUGAAACACCGCAUAUUCUCACUCAUAGGUGGGUGAUGAAAAAUGAGAACACAUGGACACAGAAAGGGGAGUACUAAACACUGGGGUCUAUUGGGGGGAAAAGGGGAGGG